rnacentral:lncRNA from 1 species
GGCUUUGCGUCUAGUCCGGCGUCGCAGACCGGUUUCGCCAUGUCUCUUCCUCAAACGGCAUUGAGGGAGGCGAGCCUUGAGACAUUUUAUUCCCUGAGAAGCAGGCUCACUUUGAAGGUGCUUUGGUGUUGGGAGCCGCGCCCACAUUCGCCGUUACAAGAUGGCGCUGACAGCUGUGUUCUAAGUGGUAAACAAAUAAUCUGCGCAUGUGCCGAGGGUGGUUCUUCACUCCAUGUGCUCUGCCUUCCCCGUGACGUCAACUCGGCCGAUGGGCUGCAGCCAAUCAGGGAGUGACACGUCCUAGGCGAGGGAUAACUCUCCUAAAAUAGGGACGGGGUUUCGUUUUCUCUCUCUCUUGCUUCUUGCACUCUGGCUCCUGAAGAUGUAAGCAAUAAAGUUUUGCCGCAGAAGAUUCUGGUCUGUGGUGUUCUUCCUGGCCGGGCGUGAGAACGCGUCUAAUAACAAUUGGUGCCGAAUUCCGGGACGAGAAAAAACUCGGGACUGGCGCAAGGAAGAUCCCUCAUUCCAGAACCAGAACUGCGGGUCGCGGUAAUAAAGGUUCCCGUAAAGCAGACUGUUAAGAAGGAUUCAACUGUAUGAAUUCAGAACUUUUCAGCUGGGGAACGAGAGUACCAGUGAGUACAGCUUUACGAGGUAAGUCUGAUCUUGAACUUUCUAAGGAAAUUCAAGACAGUCUAUCAGAAGUAAAGUGGAAUAUGUUUGGCCUUGAAUUUUUUCUGGUGUUAGGAGCCCUUCUGUUCCUUUUCACAUGUUAUCAAGUGAUUAAGAUAGGGCUGAUUCUAGAGGAAAUUCAGGACAAUCUAUCAGAAGUAAAGCGGGGAGAGAGAGUAGGAGCAAAGAGAAAAUAUGGUACACAAAAUAAGUAUACAGGCCUUUCCAAGGGUCUUGAACCUGAGGAAAAGUUAAGGUUAGGUAGGAAUACCUGGAGAGAGAUUAGAAGAAAAAGAGGAAAAA